UCAUUCUUUCAAGUUUGUCAC
rnacentral:piRNA from 1 species